UUAACAUGGCCAUCUUCCUUUUCUUUCAGAGCUGAAGUAAGCUCGUUUAACCGAGCCUCUAAGUUUGCAAAGGGGAUGUUGAGUGAAUCCGGGAGAGAGACAAUCUUAUAGUGAUGAGAAGGUCGAACAUCUAGAAGAACAUGUCUUUCCUUCUUUUGAAGGAUUUCUUUGAACUCUUUGCUGCUGAUUCUUGAUUCUUCAGGAAGUAGAUUCAACGGGCCCUAUGAUCAAACCGGUGCAGUUUAAAGAUAUAUAAAAAUGUUGUUGAAAAUGAGUGUGAUAAAAGAAAGAAAGAAAGAGAGAACAAUACCGCAGAUAAAGGAAACUGAGUGAACUCCUCAUAGUCAAAAUCCUUGAACUGCUGCUUAUUGAAAGAUGAAUUGUCUCCACAAACUGUGCACUGCGCUGACCUGCCUCUGAUCUUGACCUGUGAGACUUGGUUAGAUUUUUAACCUUAGAUUGAGUUUAAUGAAGAAGAAGUAAAUGCCAAGUUUUAAAACAUUACAAUGCGGAUCCUUGCAGAUAAAGCGUCAAAAAGAAGCAUUCGUUCAGAGAGUGGUUCGCCCACCAUGCUAGCGAGUUUAAUAGUCUCUAGCGCUUGUAGACAACCAAUAGCACCCGGAACUGAGAGAACCAAAAACCACAAUUCAAGAAUGAAGAAACUGUAGAGACUUGUUUUGCGUUAGAAAAACAAGAAAUAAAAACAGCCAUUCAUGUACCUACUCCAAGAACUCCACUAUCAGAACAUCUUUGGCACGCUGUUGUCGGUGGAGGAGUUGAAAAUAGACAACGGUAACACGGGCCUCCUUUAUGAUUAUAGACCGUAAGCUUGUAGAAGACAUAAAACAUGUAGCUUAACAACUAUAUAAUGAGUAACGUAACAACUUGGCUUGUCAUAGUUAAGAUACCUGCCCCUCCAUUCCAAGCGCAGCACCUGACACCAGAGGCUGUAUACAAGUCACACAUCAAUAGUUGUGACUAUGACUAUGUAUAAAAAUGGAAAUCAUAAAAGAGAAAUCAAAAGACGGCUUCACCUUUCCUAAGAGAACACAACAAUCGCUGAUCAUGUAACGGCUUGGAGGAUUGUCGGUUGCAUCUACUAUGAUAUCAUAUCUAGUUUACACAGUUAAGGAAACAGAUAACCAUUCAACACUCUAUAGCAUGUCUACAUAUCUAAGGAUACUGGCUGAGGAUUUCCAAAGCAUUGGAUGUGCGAAGAGCUUCCACAUAUUCAUCAAUCUUGAUCGUCGAGUUUAUUCUGGAUGUAAAAAAGCACAGUGAUUAGACCAAGAGAGUAGAGGUGAGCAUAGUUCUCAAAAGUAUAUUAAUCCUCAGGGAGUUUAAACUUACGAACGACAAGCAGUAGCAGCAGAUUUCACUUUGGGGUGACCAAUGAAUGCUUCCGUGUGUAUAACCUGGAGGAUAAACAAAUAAAAAAAAAGAUAACAAUCAGCAUAAGGUUAGUAUCUUUUGUUCAUUUCACGGACCAGAGAGUGUGCCAAGAAAAAGAAAGAGCUGCCAGAGGAGAAUUUUCUCAAGUCUCGUUACCUGCCUAUGCAUAUUGUUGAGUUCUACAACAUCAUGAUCGAUGAUACCCAAUCGACCUAGAAGAAUACAAUCGAAAAGAUGAUCAGCAAAUCAUAAUUCAGGGAGAAUGUCAGUUAGAUAGAUUGGAGGUACGAGACUAAAAACAUACCAACACCACAAGCUGCGAGAUACAAUAACGCAGGUGAACCAAGCCCUCCGGCUCCAAUGACUAGUACCGAAGACUUCAAUAGAUUUGACUGCCCUAGAUUCAUACAAACACAUAGAACAGAAACUAGUCAGUAAAGAUUGGUUUGAGAAAGGCAUUAGCAGAGUAAACAAGCAAACUAGGUAUUGACCAAAUGCAGAUAUACAUACACAGCAUAUCAGUCCACCUUAACACUAUAUUCAACAUGAGAUAUAUCAUAUCGACCUUUCUUCCUUACAAAUCCCAAAAGGCUAUCAAAAGAAGCAACAAAUACUAUUCAAUUUUUACUUAAAACUAGGCUUCAUAGUAUAUUAUAUCAUUCAAGCAUCAGUAAGUUUAUCUCUGAAAGAUCUAAAAUUACAAGUGGAAUCUAAUCAAUCAAAGGGAAACAAAAGAAACCCAAUACAAAGUUUUCAUCUUUCAGCUCCAAUCAUCACUAGCUGAUUACAGUUCAAAACAGAGACUUUUAAUGUAAUAAGAGUUGCAUUUGAGAGCAAAGUACCUUCAACACCAAACGAAGGGAGUAACAGUUGGCGACUGUAACGGUAAAUCUGAUCAGGAGACAUCCCAUGUUCAAGCCCGUAUUUAACCUCCGUUGGAACAGAGCAACCGUUGGACACGGCGUUGCAGUGUUCAACCGCCGCCGUCUCUUGGAGCUUUGCUUCGAGAGCAGAGAUACGGUGCUCGAUUUUCGCUUUCUGUAGCUUUAGCUCUUUCAGUUCACGGACGAUUUCCGACGAAUCUCCACCGUUCGCCGCCAUCCCGGUAACGGUAGUAGACAGAGGAACCCUAGAGCAGGAGUAAAGAAGACGACGCCAGUCAACGGGAUAAUACGUUGACUCUUUUUAUUCAUGCUUUGAAUCUGCGUCCACGUGUCACAUAACGGCGUGUUUUUGUUUCUAUACGGACAAAAUACAUUUAGGUACGGCUUUUUCGUUAGGCUUCUAGAAAAAUACAAGAAUGCCUUCUCAAAUUUGUAAAUGCUCAUUGCAGAUGCAGAUUCUUGUUCAUGUUGAUUGUACUUUGCUUCGUCUAUAUUUUUAACAUCAAUUUUGUUCUCACACAGAGGUGCAAAGUUGGCGUCUAGCAGCUACGAAAAUGGAUAAAACAAACGGUUCUUGUCAUGUCUUAAGAAAGUUAUAGGUUUCGGUCCGGAAUUUCUUGCAAUAAAAAGAAAAAUUUGUUUCCACACAUAACAAUCGGGAUGGUCAAUGUACCAAACCACGGUCACAUGUCUGGACGUUCUUGUACAGUUGUAUGUGGUCCGCGCUGUGACAUGAAACAUUGACUGCUUUGGUCUAUAUCCAAGGCAAAAACCAUAGUCAGUGUGUUUUAUGAUUUACUCAGAUCAUGUAUGGGGUCGAUCCCGAAGCCCAUUUAAAUUUAGACCACUACGGCCCAUCAAACUAACACGUAUGACACACACGUGGCAUCAUAACCAUAAACCCCGUUGGUGAGACACCAUCAUGCAUAAUUUUUUUAGUGGGAGAGAACCCAACUCAUACUGAUCAGAUAAAACUCCAUCUAUGGUUUGAUCUGAUCUAACUUUGCAGUUUAAAAGUGACCUCUCCGAAGAAAAUCAAAAUGUUGAGAACUUAUGUGAAUCCAAAACUAAUCUCCAGGCCUAAUAUAACAUCAGCAUGUCUUUACUCUCUUUACCUUAAGGUAUAAAUAUAUAUCCUCGAUGUAUAAAUGCUAUAUUUAUUUUCAUAAAAUAAUUAACUACAUAUAUAUAAAACUGAGGGGAGGAUUUUUAAAAAUAUCUCUACAUGUAGAGAGGAAGUGCGAGUGGAGGGAGGGAAGAAGGAAGAGCUCCUUCUACAGCGGAGGAGUUCACGAGACAAGGUGUUGCUAGCCAGACUGUGGAGAAGACGACGUACGACCGAGCAGAGGCGACGACCAACGUAUCCAGUAAUUCUGAGGCCGAGAUGGAGAAAGUGAGAAAGGAGUAUCAAGAGAAGAAAGAGAGUAGAGACCAUCUCAAGAAGGGAAGUGAUGAUGAUGAUGAUGAUUUGCCUAUCAACACGUCUAAGGGAACAUGAUGAAGAUGAUAUGAUGGAGAUGAUAAUCGAUGUUUGUAUGUAAUAAAAAUAGUCAUGUGUUUUUUUUUGUAUAUAUCUGUGGAGUCAUGUAUAGAAGCAAUGUUGUGUGUGUUUUUUUGUCAGUUAGCAUUGCUUGUUAAGUUCAUUAAUUUAUCUUCUAGUUUUGUUUCUAAAAUAGUUUUUAUUUUGCAGUUCAAAAUGUAUGUUCUGAUCACCCUGUUUUAAAUAAACUGAGGUUUACAGUUUUCCUUUUAAGAAAAUUAUGUUAUUUUUUUUAGUAAAAAUAAAAGUCACUUCCAAAUAAAAAAAAAAAAAGCAAAUGGAAUUUGACUGUUUCAUCGAAUAUUUCAAGAUGGGCAAUUGUCAAUAAUAGCACCUUUUGAAGUUUAUGUCACAAAAAUAACACUAGAAGGAGAAAGUCACAAAAAUAACAUUCAUUAAAGGUAAAAUAUCCCUAAUACCCUUGGUUUAAAAUUAAAUAAACAAACAAAAAUAAAUAAAAAUAAAUAAAAUAAAAAUAAAAAAAAAAAGAAAAAUGAAAAAAAGAAAUUUUUUUUAUAGUUUCAGAUUAUAUUUUUCAGAUUCGAAAUUUUUAUAAUUUUUUUUUGAAAUUUUUUUUCGAAAUUUUUUUUUAUUUUUUUUUCAAAUUUUCUUUUUAUAAUUUAAAAAUACUUUUUGAAACUGUUUUUAAAAUUUUUUAUUUUUAUUUUAGUAUUUAUUUUUUAUAAAAUUUUAAACCCUAAUUCCAAAACCCCACCCCUUNNNNNNNNNNNNNNNNNNNNNNNNNNNNNNNNNNNNNNNNNNNNNNNNNNNNNNNNNNNNNNNNNNNNNNNNNNNNNNNNNNNNNNNNNNNNNNNNNNNNNNNNNNNNNNNNNNNNNNNNNNNNNNNNNNNNNNNNNNNNNNNNNNNNNNNNNNNNNNNNNNNNNNNNNNNNNNNNNNNNNNNNNNNNNNNNNNNNNNNNNNNNNNNNNNNNNNNNNNNNNNNNNNNNNNNNNNNNNNNNNNNNNNNNNNNNNNNNNNNNNNNNNNNNNNNNNNNNNNNNNNNNNNNNNUUGUAGAGUUGUUGGUUGGACAAUGAAGAAGGGAAUACAUCCACAGAUGCAAUGGAUCUCUUAUGUGACACAGAGCGGUAGAUUGAUGCACGUCAUGAUGACAAGGAUCCACCAUGUUGGCAAAGUCUAUCACUUUGGCGCUAAGCGUCAGUUGGCUCAAAGCAUUGGCCAGAUUGCCAAGUUCAAGCGUAGGUUUAACGAGCAAGAGGAAGAACCUUCCCAUGACAAUAACAUCGACAACCAGAACAAGUAACUGCCUACUCCAACUCUUCUUCUCUCUUUCCUUUCCUCAAAAACCAAAUUUGAACAAGGCUGAAGACUUUGCACUUUUGCUCAAGGCACUAUGAACCUUGCUUUUGUUUCUUCUGAUUGAUUUUCACAGUUCUUGAGUCGCACUGUUUCAUCAAUAAAAAAAUUAUUAUUGUUCUUUGAGAAGACUGAAUUAUUCACAUUAUUCUUUGUUUCAUAUGAUCAAAUCAAACCAAACAACAAGGUAUCUUAUAGCAUGUAAAUCAAACAGGGUUUCAACAUGGGUUUAAUAAGGUUACGUAACAUCAAUAAGAACUUUUCUUACGACAGAAUCAAACUACGAGAUCAAAACAGUGACAAUGUAAUUCAGACAGGGUAACAUGACAUAACUAGUGAUACAUUUUAUCUAGUAACUGGGGAAGUUGGGGUUGACUUCAGCUGCCCAAGCCUCAAGUCCUCCAAUUAUAUCCUUAGCUGAGCUAAAACCAGAAUCACGAAGAUACUGAACAGCUCUCUGUGAGUCAUUCCCUCGCCUGCAAACAACGUAGAGGCUCGGAUUUGCACAAGACCCUGAGUUAACAUGGCCAUCUUCCUUUUCUUUCAGAGCUGAAGUAAGCUCGUUUAACCGAGCCUCUAAGUUUGCAAAGGGGAUGUUGAGUGAAUCCGGGAGAGAGACAAUCUUAUAGUGAUGAGAAGGUCGAACAUCUAGAAGAACAUGUCUUUCCUUCUUUUGAAGGAUUUCUUUGAACUCUUUGCUGCUGAUUCUUGAUUCUUCAGGAAGUAGAUUCAAC
rnacentral:lncRNA from 1 species